rnacentral:ncRNA from 1 species
CUUUCCGAGGAGCGUUGCGACGGACCACUCUGUGUCCGCCAGGCUCGGAAGGCUUCACCAAGCAGCCGUGCGGCACAACCGCUUCGGCCCCGCUUCCUGAACGGCGCUCACGUCAC